AGCGAACGCUGGCGGCAGGCCUAACACAUGCAAGUCGAACGAACCCUUCGGGGUUAGUGGCGGACGGGUGAGUAACACGUGGGAACGUGCCUUUAGGUUCGGAAUAACUCAGGGAAACUUGUGCUAAUACCGAAUGUGCCCUUCGGGGGAAAGAUUUAUCGCCUUUAGAGCGGCCCGCGUCUGAUUAGCUAGUUGGUGAGGUAAUGGCUCACCAAGGCUACGAUCAGUAGCUGGUCUGAGAGGAUGAUCAGCCACAUUGGGACUGAGACACGGCCCAAACUCCUACGGGAGGCAGCAGUGGGGAAUCUUGCGCAAUGGGCGAAAGCUUGACGCAGCCAUGCCGCGUGGAUGAUGAAGGUCUUAGGAUUGUAAAAUCCUUUCACCGGUGAAGAUAAUGACUGUAGCCGGAGAAGAAGCCCCGGCUAACUUCGUGCCAGCCGCCGCAGUAAUAC
rnacentral:rRNA from 1 species